AGUGAACGCUGGCGGCGUGCCUAAUACAUGCAAGUCGAACGAAGUGGCGCACGGGUGAGUAAUAUAUAGUUAAUCUGCCCUACACAGAGGAACAACAGUUGGAAACGACUGCUAAUACCUCAUAGUGUAGGAUGAGAAGAUAUCGUAUCAGCUAGUUGGUAAGGUAAUGGCUUACCAAGGCUAUGACGCGGAACUGGUCUGAGAGGAUGAUCAGUCACAUUGGAACGGAGACACGGUACAAACGCCGACGGGAGGCAGAAGUAAGGAAUAUUGGGCAAUGGGGGAAACCCUGAUGCAGCAACGCCGCGUGGGGGAUGACGGCCUUCGGGUUGGAAACCGCUUUCAGCCAUGACGCGGUAGUGGCAGAAGAAGCACCGGCUAACUACGUGCCAGCAGCGCGGUAAUAC
rnacentral:rRNA from 1 species